ACGAAUAAUGAAUCAACACCCAUUAUAUGGAGAGGAUCCAGUGUCGGGAAGGAACAAUACUGAAUCUACACCUAAGCAUGUUCAGAGGAUCCAAUGUUAGGAAGGACGAAUAAUGAAUCAAUA